rnacentral:lncRNA from 1 species
CACCAUUUUAUAUUAAUGUAUUGCAUACAUAAACAAUUAUAUUAAUCCAAUAUGAAAAUAAAUGUACAUAUUUAUUUUUUUAAAUGUGUACAAUUGAAUCAAAAUUAAAGUAUCAUAAUUAUAUAGGAAUCACAAUUUAACUUUUAAAUGCAUAGUUACAUUUAAUCUAAAUUUACGUAUCAAAUUACUUGUUAAAUCAAAAUCCAUAAAUAAAAUUGAUAUUUAUCCCUGUAUAAAUAAUAAGUGUUAAGGUAUUUUUUGAUGAUUUUUUAUAAAAGCAAAUUCCUAUAAACUCACAUGCCACUAACAUGGUUUGACGUAAACACUAGGCCACGAGCUAGGGUUUAAGUAUUUAUAUAUACACAGUAGAAUUCCUUAUUGGCUACGAAAGAUUAAAUUACGUAGCGUGAAGGAUGAGGAUGUGUGAGUAUCAAUGGCCAUUAUCCAAAUAAAAUAAACAAAUUCAGUGACUGGCGAGAAUGUACCUGUACCUACCCUAUUGGAACAGAAAUCAAAGCUCCAAAUGAAGACCCAAUUUCCGAGGCGUCUUUCAGAGUCCGUGGAGAGUUAAUUUACUUCUUGGAUGGAUGGAGUUUGUAAUUUUCCCACUAAAUGGUAAUAUUGCAAUGCCAACCCCUCAUUUUACUCCCUGGCCACUACAUUGAUUUCCUGUCAUAUAUGUACAUAUAUAGUCACCAACCUAGCUUCUCUAGCCAAUUUUAUUGACAGCUAAGGCUCUACAAAAGUUAUGUGUAAAUAUAUACCAGUACGUACCUCUAUUAUGUGGCAGGUGAUAUUGAAAUUUUGGGAAAUUUGGUGUUGUUUUUACUAGUAUUUUUGGUCCUGGAGAAGCUUUUAUGAAGAUGCAUGAUGAGAGGCUUAUAUUCAAUUGAGGCAUCAAAGCUGACCCUAGCAUGUAAGCUUGUCAGAUUUGUAUGUUUGCAUGUUUAUGUAUAUUUGUACCAUAAACGUAGUGCAUAUGUUUCAUAACUCACAAGGUAAGGGUGUUUCAUCAAGACCAUGAAAAUGAAAAAAGAAGAAGAUUAAAGUGCUUUGAUGAUGUCAGUCCUUUCACCAUGAGAGAGAGAAAUAAGGAGUAUUUGGAACUCAAGA